rnacentral:lncRNA from 1 species
CUCUCGUCCAGUGAGAGAUUUGGUUCUGGUGGCUGAGACGAGGCUCACAGCCUGGUGAAAAAGGUGGAUUGCGCCUCUCCCACCUCACAGCCCGAGGAGAGAUAGGAAAUGGCUUCUCAUGGCAGUAUCUUUAUAAUAGAGCCCAAGAGCUAUUCAUUUWCAGGAAGUUUUUGCAAAUCAAAUCAUUUUUGUAAUGAUUCUGUCUGUUAAUCAUCUAAUUUUUCUUGUUCGAUGGUGGUCUUUGAGUUUUUAGGAUAUUGUUCCUUAUUGCCCCUGACUCCAAGGUAUUUAGUGUUCAGCAGAUUGCUCCUUAUUGCCCCUGACUAUAAGGUAUUUAGUGUUCAGCAGAUUGUUCCUUAUUGCCCCUGACUAUAAGGGAUUUAGGGUUCAGCAGAUUGCUCCUUAUUGCCCCUGACUAUAAGGUAUUUAGUGUUCAGCAGAUUGUCCUUAUUGCCCCUGACUAUAAGGUAUUUAGGGUUCAGCAUUGCU